AUGAACGCUGGCGGCGUGGUUAAGGCAUGCAAGUCGAACGAGUUAGUUUGAGAUUAUAUCAAUGGCUAACUAGUGGCAAACGGGUGAGUAACACAUUGGUAACCUACCUUCGAGUCGGGCAUAAUUCGCCGAAAGGCGAACUAAUUCCCGAUGGAAAUGGGGGGACAUAAGUCAUUCCCAUUUAAAGUUCCAAAAGAAUGCUCGAAGAGGGGCCUAUGGUCUAUCAGCUAGUUGGUGAGGUAACGGCUCACCAAGGCUAUGACGGAUAACGGGUGUGAGAGCACGACCCGUCUCACUGGGACUGAGACACUGCCCAGACUCCUACGGGAGGCUGCAGUCGCGAAUCUUCCCCAAUGGACGAAAGUCUGAGGGAGCGACGCCGCGUGUAGGAUGAAGGUUUUCGGAUUGUAAACUACUUUUGCAGGGGACGAAUUCUGACGGUACCCUGCGAAUAAGAGGUUGCUAACUCUGU
rnacentral:rRNA from 1 species